GAAGCACUUAGAUCUCAGGGAUCCUGUGCAGUAUAUCUGGGCCUGCAGACCCUUGAGAAUAGGCAUGUAGUUUUUCACUUUUGAUGCCCCAGAGCCUAGCAUGGUGCUUGGCAAAUAGUGCAAACUCAACAUUCUUUAAAGACCUGAACUCUGGCCUAUCAUAGAGUGAAAAGAAGCUUGAGGAAAUUUACCAACGUCUUGACCAGGUUUCCGUAGACAAUGCCUCUUUCCGUUCCUCUCUGUUAGAGAUCUCAGUGGUGGAAGCACCAUCAUCCCAAGGAGACUUAGGAAAAAGACAAGGCCCUGCUCUGAGGAGUGAAGACACAAUCCAGCAGGCAGGAGGGAUGGCUAAGUUCAAAGUCUUGAGAAGUGCCCCUCAUGGACACCCCAGGGUGCCCAUCUCCAGGUUACCACCAGGUGCUUCCAAGACCAAGAUAACCAGGCAAUCAUAGUAGAUGCAUCAAUGCACCCUUGCCCAAGGGCCUAGACAAGAGGUAUUGUUUAGCUUCGCAUGAAUUUUAUCACCUUGCCUAGAACCAGCCACCAUCUGCCAGGGCUCCUGACUUUUUCUGAAAUGAAUAGACACUAAAGCCUGCUGGGGAAUUUCAUGGAAAUCAAGAUGACUCAACCCAGAGUCCAUUUCAAGGCUAGGAUGCUAGAGGACGCCAACAAAGGAGUAGGGAAGUGAAACGGAUCAGCUCACAUCCAAGCCCUUGCAUGAUCAAUCCUGCAGUAGGAGUGCUGCUCAGUUGGGACUCAUGAGAGCCCGGAAGAGGAAAAAGCAGCUCUAAGCAUAGCAAAGAAGCUGUUAUGGAAAAGACCCAAAUGUUAAAAUGGUGGACAUAGUAAAGUGAUUGGUUCUGCUUAGGGGAAUCUAGAUCCCCACAUUUUGACCUCCACUGGAGUCUCAGAAGAACAAGUGCCAGGGGGGCUUGCCACAGAGGCCAAGGCAGUGAAUGUCAGGCACAUCACAGUCCCCAAGAUGGGGAGAAGACUGAGAUGCAGGGUAACAACUGCAAUCCAUUCAUGGGAGCCAUGUUUAUCUUAAAUCAUUGACAGUGAGAUAAGGAUCAUGUCAGCCUUCAUACCUUUGAUGAUGAUCCCAGGCUGCAACAGUGACACAUAGAACUGGAUUCAGUAACUAACUACAGAUUCCAUCAACCAGGACUAGUAAAGUGAAAGGCAGAAAUUGGGAGGAGGGGUUUCUUUCUUGCUUAUAAAACUUUAUUUGGUUGUGUUGAGUAUGUGCAUGUAUGUAUGAAAUCCCAUAAAGCAGUCUUCUUAGGAACAAGCCAACAUGCCACAAUGUAGGAGAUCUUUGGAGCACUGGCCUAAAUGGCAGAGAGCUCAAGGGACUCUGCUUUGUACAAGGCAUGAUUUGUACCACCACCACUAUCCCUGUUUCAGAGCACUGUUGAAUUGUUCCAAACCUGGAUUUCUAUGUCAGCUCCCUGUCUAUAGUACUUGACUGAUAAAUGCUAGUUUCUGAAAUCUGCUUUGGUUCUAUAAUUUAUUAGACAGCUUUUUCUUCCCAUUUUAUUACUUGUUUUUACUGUCAUUGGUAUAUUAUCUCUUACAGUGAAAACAUUCAUAGGCUGAUUGAAGAGAAGAUCUGAAAUUAUUAGGCAGCAAGCAUACAAAACCCUUGCUUUAUAAAGAUAAUAUCUUAAAGGCCUAAUGUCUAUGGUUCAAAGCAGCCUGGAGAUGUUGGCUAAAUCUUCCAUCAUAGAGUCCUCAUGGGAUCUGGAAGCUCUGAUUUAUCUUCCUUCAGGCCCUAUAAGUUAGCUUUCCACAUCUGUAGGUUCCACAAUCAACCUUGGAUCAAAAACAUUUGAAA
rnacentral:lncRNA from 1 species